UACGUAGGGUGCAAGCGUUGUCCGGAAUUAUUGGGCGUAAAGAGCUUGUAGGCGGUUUGUCGCGUCUGCUGUGAAAUUUCGGGGCUCAACCCCGAACUUGCAGUGGGUACGGGCAGACUAGAGUGUGGUAGGGGAGACUGGAAUUCCUGGUGUAGCGGUGAAAUGCGCAGAUAUCAGGAGGAACACCGAUGGCGAAGGCAGGUCACUGGGCCGCAACUGACGCUGAGGAGCGAAAGCAUGGGGAGCGAACCGG
rnacentral:rRNA from 1 species